rnacentral:rRNA from 1 species
CGUGUAGGCGGCCGACUAAGUCUGAUGUGAAAUACCCACUUUUAAGGUGGGUCGUGCAUUGGAAACUGGAUGGCUAGAGUGCGGAAGAGGUAAGUGGAAUUCCCAGUGUAGCGGUGAAAUGCGUAGAGAUUGGGAGGAACACCAGUGGCGAAGGCGACUUACUGGGCCGCAACUGACGCUGAGGCGCGAAAGCGUGGGGAGCAAACA